AACGAACGCUGGCGGCAGGCUUAACACAUGCAAGUCGAACGAUGUAGCAAUACAUAGUGGCGCACGGGUGAGUAACGCGUGGGAAUAUACCUUGUAGUGGGGAAUAACUCCGGGAAACUGGAGAUAAUACCGCAUACGCCCGAGAGGGGAAAGAUUUAUCGCUAUAAGAUUAGCCCGCGUGAGAUUAGGUAGUUGGUGGGGUAAUGGCCUACCAAGCCUACGAUCUCUAGCUGGUCUGAGAGGAUGAUCAGCCACACUGGAACGGAGACACGGUCCAGACUCCUACGGGAGGCAGCAGUGGGGAAUAUUGGACAAUGGGCGACAGCCUGAUCCAGCCAUGCCGCGUGAAUGAUGAAGGCCUUAGGGUUGUAAAGUUCUUUCGCCGAUGAAGAUAAUGACGGUAGUCGGAGAAGAAGCCCCGGCUAACUUCGUGCCAGCCGCCGCAGUAA
rnacentral:rRNA from 1 species